rnacentral:lncRNA from 1 species
GUAAGGAGAGGGGCGAGAGGAGAAGGGAGAGGCGGUGAGGGAUCCGAUCUGACAAGAGGAGGGGCGGAGGCUCCGAUCCUGCAACAAGAGGGGCAAGGGGAGAAGGGGGAGGCAACGGUGGGUUCGAUCUGACAAGGGGAGGGGCAGUCCGAUGGGGUAUGAUGGUGGAGAAGAAAGAGGGUUUGCCCAGUCCUGUGAGCUCAUCG